UCACGAAGAAGCAAGACCUAUUUUGAGCUUACAAGCUUACAGAGGAGGACAAGGAAGAAAUUGAGAAGUUAGCCUAGGAUCCAAAUAUUGAAAAAAAUAUUAUCAAGUCAAUUGCUCCAUCAAUCUAUGGCCACGACGACAUAAAAAUUGCAAUAGCUCUUGCAAUGUUUGGAGGUCAAGAGAAAAAUGUUGAAGGGAAACAUUGGUUGCGAGGGGACAUAAAUGUGCUCGUGCUAGGUGACCCAGGGACAACAAAAUCUCAGUUUCUCAAACUAGCCAUAGGGUUGUUUAUACAAUUGGGAAAGGAGUUUCUGCUGUAGGGCUGACAGCGACAGUACCCAAGGACCUAGUCACACGAGAGUGGACACUUGAAGGAGGGGCCCUUGUACUUGUCGAUAAAGA